GCUAGGAUCUCCCAGAACGUAGUCACUCAAUUAAACAGCGUAUACUGCUAGCAAAAGGAUUCUUUAAGACCAUAUCAGUGACGAUUUAGUCUUGAACUCGGCAUUUCAUUCUUCCUUGGUUCUCUGGAUUCCAUCCGUAAGCUCCAGGUGCCAUUUGAAUCAGUACCUUUCUGUGUUGAAUGUAUCUGUGUCAAGUUCAAUUCUUCCUUAUCAUCUGCUUUGUUCAGGCUGUUUUCGUUGAUUGAUUUCUUAGGCCUCAACGUUUCCAGCUGUACUACUUUUCUGUACAAUUUAUGCUCCUCGGAAGUUAUACAGAAUUUAUGAUUUUUAAAACCUGAGAUAUAUCUGCUUUUUAUUUUCUCAUCAUUUCAACAAUUAUCACCUUUGUAUAUGAUUAAAUCUUCAUAAACAGGGUCUUCUAACAUCAAGCACCCUGAUUAGUUAUUUAGUCAUUUCAAAAGGUUUUUAGUCAAGUAUCCUUCUUUAAUAUGUAUUGGUAACUCCUAAAACAGAGAUUCAACAUGUUAGGAUUUUUGUAGGAUGGGAUAUAUUUGUACUUCUUUUUACUAGAGAAUCAGGUCUAGUGUUUGAAGUCCAGUUCAUUAUAUUUGCAGGCCAGGCGCAGUGGCUCACGCCUAUAAUCCCAGCACUUUGAGAGGCCAAGGUGGGCAGACAGCUUGAGCCCAAGAGUUUGAGACCAGCCCGAGCAACACAGCAAAACCUCAUCUCUACAAAAAACACAAAAAUUGGCCGGGCAUGGUGGGGCAUGCCUGUAGUGCCAGCUAGUUGGGAGAGUGAGGUGGGGAAGAUCGCCAGAGCCUGGGAGGUUGAAGCUACAGUGAACUGUGAUCACACUCCUGCACGCCAGAUUGAGCAACACAGUGAGACCCUGUCUCAAACAAACAAACAAUCCUCACCUGCAAAUUAUUUUCAGUUACAAUCCUUGACAUAAGUAUAUUCUCAUGCCUCUAUGUCAGUGUCAUACAAGGAGAAUCCAUUAGGAUUUUUCCCCUGAUUAAAUUUCAAGGAUGCUAUCCGGUAUACCACAUUACAUAUAAUUGAUAAGAAGACUUUUUCCCCAUCUGGCUUUUGGACUUGUGUGAGUUGUUGUUACUAUCUUAUGACCAUAAGGAAAAGAACCUGGCACCAAAGUCGACAUGCUGAGAACGGCAGGAAAGAAUCUAGGUUUUAAUAUGCUGUAGAUCUCUGGGCCCACCAACAGUGGAAUCAACCUUUCUCUGGACAUCUUGAUAUGUGAACAAUAAACCUCUAAUUUAAAAAUUAUUUGAAUUACUUGCAACCAAGACCAUCCUAGUAUGUUAGUAUAUAAAGAUAACAAUGAUUAACUAAAUGCAUCUUCAGAAAGUACAGUUAAGUGCUAUUGUGAAAAGGGCACUGGAAUCGGAGUCAGGGCAGGUAUGUUUGAGCUUGCACAACUACAACUACCUACAGGCUCUAUGAUAUUGACCAAAUGACUCUCUGCAAUUUUCUCAUUUUUUUCUUCUUCUUCCUCCUCUCUCUCUCCUUUUUUUUGGGGGGAGGGUCUCACUCUAUGGCCCAGGCUGGAGUACAGUUGCACUAUCACAGCUCACUGCAGCCUUACCCUCCCCAGGCUCAAAUGAUCCUCCCACCUCAGCCUCCUGAAUAGCUGGGGCCACAGGCACACGCCACCACGC
rnacentral:lncRNA from 1 species